rnacentral:rRNA from 1 species
UCUGGUGGCGAUAGCGGAGGGGACCCACCCGUUCCCAUCCCGAACACGGAAGUUAAGCCCUCCUGCGCCGAUGGUACUUGGGGCUCGCGCCCCUGGGAGAGUAGGACGUUGCCGGGC